AAUGCACCAAUUUGUAAGUCGCUCCGGAUAAGAGCGUCUGCUAAAUGACGUAAA
rfam:Salmo salar isolate Sally breed double haploid chromosome ssa01, whole genome shotgun sequence.